CAAUAGCGUAUAUUAAAGUUGUUGCGGUUAAAAGCUCGUAGUUGGAUUUCUGCCGAGGACGACCGGUCCGCCCUCUGGGUGAGCAUCUGGCUCGGCCUGGGCAUCUUCGUUGGAGAACGUAUCUGCACUUGACUGUGUGGUGCGGUAUUCAGGACUUUUACUUUUGAGGAAAUUAGAGUGUUUCAGCAGGCAUACGCCUUGAAUACAUUAGCAUGGAAUAAUAAGAUAGGACUUCGGAACUAUUUUGUUGGUUUGCGUUACGAAGUAAUGAUUAAUAGGGACAGUUGGGGGUGAUUCGUAUUGCAUUUGUCAGAGGGUGAAAAUUCUUGGAUUUCUGCAAGACGAA
rnacentral:rRNA from 1 species